GUCAACCAAAUGAUGUGUCAUUACAAGAAGCAAUGAUGCAUAACAUCAAAGAGAGUUGGACCCACCACAUUUCAUCACACUUCUGCUAGCAUUCCAGAAGACCUUCUUGUUCUGCCUUCUUCACCAUUGCUGCAAGAGCUGAAUCAAAUAUCCAGAGCUACCCCAGGGCAAUUAAAUUGGAUGUUCUGCUUUGCCCUGGAGAGUGGGCUAAACUGAUAGCAGAUCAGACAGCUAAACUACCAGAUCAAUGUGGGAUCGAAGAGUCAAUGGUGGUGCUUCAGAGCCCAGAAGCAAAGCAGGAACGCUGCUCCUGGAAGAAGAGAGGAGAUAAUGCUCCAUUAUGAAGAAAACAAUUUGUUUGUUGCUUCUGAAGGAAACAUGAUGUUUAGUUUUGACUUCAAACUGAGAGGUUCCAGAAGGUACAAAAUGAGUUUGCCUUUCUUAAGUUAUCCUGUUUUUCAUUUUCUUAUUUUCCCACUGACUGAGAAAGCAAUUACUGCCACCCUUUCUUGACUAGCUAGCCGGUUCUUUCUUAUGAAAAUGUGAACCAUAAGUUGAAGAGACUACUUGAAGUUCUGUCUAUGAUGAGCUGUUCCAUGCCAUAGGUCACUAAAAUACUUUUGGUGAGAUUUCCUUGAAAUUUUUCUGUCGUAUUGUCCUCAGAAGCCACAAUCCAUUCAAUUGCCUCUGUGGGACUACACAGCAUAAUUCAUUUCAGGAGACUUCCUUUUUUAAUAGUUUUUGCUUCAAACCAUCUUAUUUCUAGUAGUUACACUCAAAUGUGUAUGUGUUUACAACUCACUGUUGACCCCCAGCAAACAAAAAGCUCUAGAGAUGCUACCACCAUGUACAUUCAUACAUAAAUGUGCAUACAUACAUACGGAUCCAGUAAAAUUAGUGCACUCAAUUAUCUGGCACCAAUGGUCUCUGCUUUGAAGAAUUCAGAGUGCUAUUUUUAGAAUGUUUUCAUAAAUGGGAACAUAGAUGACAGUCAUUCUGUAGAAUACAAAAUGUUAUACCUCUAUUAACUAGAGAACAAUAUGGAUGCUAAUAAAUACAGUUCACUGAAGUUCAGCGUUAUUGAUGUUCUUUUUCUUUUCUUUGUCCAGUC